rnacentral:rRNA from 1 species
CAGGACGAACGCUGGCGGCGUGCUUAACACAUGCAAGUCGAACGGGGAUACUCGAACGGAAAGCUUCGGCCGGAAGAUUGGGUAUUCUAGUGGCGGACGGGUGAGUAACGCGUGAACAAUCUGUCCCAGACAGGGGGAUAACACUUGGAAACAGGUGCUAAUACCGCAUAAGACCACGGCACCGCAUGGUGGAGGGGUAAAAGGAGCAAUCCGGUCUGGAGUGAGUUCGCGUCCGAUUAGAUAGUUGGUGAGGUAACGGCCCACCAAGUCGACGAUCGGUAGCCGACCUGAGAGGGUGAUCGGCCACAUUGGAACUGAGAGACGGUCCAAACUCCUACGGGAGGCAGCAGUGGGGAAUAUUGGGCAAUGGGCGAAAGCCUGACCCAGCAACGCCGCGUGAGUGAAGAAGGCUUUCGGGUUGUAAAGCUCUGUUGUGGACGACGAAGGAAGUGACGGUAGUCCACAAGGAAGCCCCGGCUAACUACGUGCCAGCAGCCGC